AGUUUUCAUUACAAUCCCAAAGAAAGGCAAUACCAAAGAAUGUUCAAACUACCGCACAACUGUACUCAUCUAACAUGCUAGCAAAGUAAUGCUCAAAAUUCUCCAAGCCAGGCUUCAACAGUACGUGAACAAUGAACUUCCAGAUGUUCAAGCUGGAUUUAGAAA